rnacentral:rRNA from 1 species
GAUGAACGCUGGCGGCGUGCCUAAUACAUGCAAGUCGAGCGAACAGACGAGGCGCUUGCUCCUCUGACGUUAGCGGCGGGCGGGUGAGUAACACGUGGAUAACCUACCUAUAAGACUGGGAUAACUUCAGGAGACCGGAGCUAAUAUCGGAUCAGAUAUUGAACCGCAUGGUUCAUUGGAGAAAGCCGUAUUUGCUGACCCUAAUAGAUGUAACCGCGCCGGAUUAGCUAGUUGGUAAGGUAACGGCUUACCAAGGCAACGAUGCGUAGCUGAUCUGAGAGGGUGAUCAGCCACACUGGAACUGAGACACGGUCCAGACUCCUACGGGAGGCAGCAGUAGGGAAUCUUCCACAAUGGGCGAAAGCCUGACGCAGCAACGCCGCGUGAGUGAAGAAGGUCUUCGGAUCGUAAAGCUCUGUUAGUUGGGAAGAACGACAGUGUAUGAAACCAUGCCCGUCUUGACGUUACCUAAACAGAAAGCCCCGGCUAACUACGUG